rnacentral:lncRNA from 1 species
UUUUUUUUUUUUUUGUUAAAUUUCAUAACUCUUAUACAAAUUUUGAGUAGGUGUCAUUACUUGUAAAACUUUAUUGUAUUUAUUAACCAUGUUUGAUGAAAAAGCUUAAAUCUUUGCUAUUACAGUUUGUUGAAAACAGAAUUCACUACUAAAGUAAAAGGUCAAAUGAAAUAUUUGGAAGUUCUCAUUAAUUUAAGCGGUCAAUAUUUUUUUCAACAAUUCGAAUAUGUAAACAUAAAUACCUAAACAAGUUUCUAGUAGUACUAAUAACCAGUAGAAAUAUUAUAUACUUUCGAUGAGAUAUUUUCAGUCUUUUAAGAUUUUCGCAUACCUUAUAAAAUCACAUUUAAUGGUUUAAUCCUGCAAGUUUGACUUUGACAAGGUAAAGACAAAAGGAAGGUGACUCCUGUUGGGUGUAUUAUCACGUAAUCAAUAAAUAAUUGGCAGUGCACGACUGCAUAACAAUCUACUAAUUAUUAAACAAUAGUUGACCAUAUCAAUUAAAUAAAUUCCAUUGAUUAACUUAAUAUAUCUAUAUCUAUAAAAAAAAAAUAGUUUACUAAAUGUAGCACAAUUUAUCUCUGUCCCUUUUGUUUCUUGAAAAAGUAUAAAGGUUCUUAUUUUUUCCUAAUGUCAAUGUUCGGUAUCCUACUUCUUUUUUCGUUUCCCAACAUUAUUUUUGAACAAUAUUUUCAGAAAAUUAUUUUCCGUAUCUUUUUUUUUUCUAAUCCACUGGUUGGUUCAAGCGGAGGAAAAUACGUAUGUUUACGAAUUUUUGUCUUCUUCCAAAAGUUAAAGAAAGCUUUUAUAAUUCAAUUUAAGUUCAGUUAGAGAGUACAUCGAUUUUCACACCUCUAAUUUAGAAAAUAAAAUGAAAUUACAAAUUCGAAUUUCUUGCAACUCAAAUAACUAGAUUGAAAUAAUCGAUAUUCCUAAGACCAAGUAAAAUAGCGAUUAGUUGAAUUCUUAUAUUAUUACUUGAAGCGUUAAAUAGGUUUUAUUUUAUUUUAAUAUUGAGUCUUUUCGAACGUUUUGUUUACUUUUUCUUUACGUAGUUCUUAAAAAUGUAAUAUUGAGAAGUUGAUAUUGAUGUAUGAAUUUAUGCUGUAAUUUGAACAGCAUUGUUUUUUGUUAUACGUUAUAUUCAUGAGUUGUUUCAUUUGUACAUUGAAUAAUGACUUGAGAGAGCAACUCCAGACCCACCACGUUGAUAUGGAUGAAACGUACAUUGAAUAUAACUAGCUAAGAAGGGUCCUGUCUAUUUCAAAUGAAAAAUUAAAUAAAACCAGAAAGAAGAAAAUAAAAGGAAAAAAAUAGCACACCAGGAGUAUAUAUAGUCUACGUCCCGAUAAAUAAAGAUAGAUGAAAAUAGAUAUUAGAAUUUUAAUUUUAAUAAAGACAGAAAAAUAACGUUUAGUGAUUUCUUCUCAUCUUCUUAAACUUUAGAUAAAAUUAGUCGGCAGUUAUGUUAGUCAGUAGUGACUACUACAAAAGGAAAAUGAAAAUUAGCUACGAAUUUCAUCAUUAAUAUAUUGCUAAAUCGCUCGCAAUUAACAAAAUUUUUUGAUAACUUAUCUCUAACCUGCCGCUAAAUAGGAUUAGCAAUAAAUUUUGCUAUUUAGCUAUAAAAUUUAUUUGUCGCUAGUUUUUAUUUUUUUAGUAGUUGGUAAAUAUGCAAAUUCAUAAUAAAAUACGCACAACCUAACUCGAAUACCAAAAAAUGAAAAUCCAAUAAAGAUAAAAGAUGAGAAGUCUUGUCUAAAUUCUCCAUCAAGGAGUGAGUUGACUAAGAAAAAGCACUUCAUUUUCAGUAGCAAAUAUCACAUGGAGCAAAAAGCAUUAAGAAAUGUGGGGUUAUUUAUUUCAUAUCCCACCAAUACUGAGUUUUAUUCUUAUCCACAUAACUUUAUUUGGAGGCAAACGGCAUCUUUUUGUGGGCAACAAAAUUCUUCUCUAAAUCAAAUCCCAUAUGAUUGUAUACACAAUAUUCUCGUCUCAUCUGAUCUAAUAAUUGAGAGAGAGCCUAUAUUUUAUAAUUAAAAAUAUAAAAACUUACAAUUUGCACGUGUUCAUUUCACCUUGAAACAAAAUAAUAACUAUGCUUUUCUUCUUUCUUAUUAUUCUUUUUUUUUAAAACGAAUCGGAGUUGCAAAGAGAUGAAGUUUAAUGGAUCAUGGCAGCAAAGUUACUCUGCUACUUACAAUACCCCGUCGCGUAUUAAGUCGUCUGCAAAAGAUUCUACCUGCUGCUCAAUGGAAAUUGUAGUUCAAUGUGAUCAUCGCAGCUGUUCCGCCGCGAAGACUUAGCCAACGACAGGUGACCUUGGGUCCAAAGGCUCCUACUGCGAGGCAAGAAGACAACGGUACAUGUGUUGCUUCUAACCCAGAUUCUGACUUAGAGGCGUUCAUUUAUAAUCCAGCACACGGUAGCUUUGUGCCACUGGCUUUUCGGCCAAGCGCAAUGACCAAUUGUGUGAAUCAAUCGUUUCUCACGUACUAGGUUGAAUUACUAUUGCAAUACUGUCAUCAGUAGGGUAAAACUAUACUUUUGUUGAUCUUUUGAGUUUUUGAAAAUUUUGAGAUUAUUAGGUUUAAGCUAUGAUCAAUAUCUCAUAUUCACAAGCAUCAGAGAAUGGGUUGUUAGGACUGUAAUUUAUGAAUAUUAAAACAUAUGACUAAAAGGUUAUAUUUUAACUAGAUGAUUCAUAGCAAUACUAAUUGAUGUUUGUUGGAAUAUUAGGUGUAAGAUAUAAGAAAAUUAAGCACUUUAAGGUUUUAAGUCUAACCUCAAAACUAAGAAGCAAAGCUCUUUUAUCUGCAUAUAUAUUCACAAAAUAUGAUUUUAUGCUACUGUUUAAUGGAGCAAAUGAUCUCUUAUAUCCACUUAUAAUAAUAAUAAUAAUAAUAUAAAUAGAAGAAAAUGACCAAACAAAAACAAUAGAGACGUGCAAAGUACAAAUCUAAGACAUCUUAGCUUUAUGAGUUAAAAGAGGUCUGAAUUGACGAUAGGCCAUCUUUUAAAAUACCAAUACGGCAAUACCAAAGAGCAGAUUCAGCAGAAAAUGAAAUUAGGGCAAUUUUCAGUGACGCCCCUUAAAGUUUUUACUUAUACACUUACAUCCCUUUGGGUUUGGGGGAAAUUAACUUUGGGAACAUUCAGUUUGAACUCAUCAAAAUUCUUUCUAGAGCUAGCAGUCCUCCCCCUUGCUUAGCCGCUAAUGGCAUAAAUAUUUGUCCAAUACAACUUGUUAAUGAAAGUACUAAGAACAAAUAUAAUAUCAUGGAUAAGAAUAAGAGUUAAAUCGAAUGUGCACCAUACUUACGGCUUGUUUGGUACGAGGGAUAAGGGAUAAUUAAAUCUGAGAUGAGUUUAUCCCAUAUUCAGUUGGGAGAAAAUCGCGGUAUAACUAAUCUCCGGAUUAGUUAUCCCGCGAUUGUAGUGUUAUUUUUAUCCCUAUGGGAGGGUGAGAUAACAAUUCUGGGAUAAUUAAUCGUAGGAUAACUUGUUUCCGAACCAAAUGACCCCUAGUUGGUAAUAGACUAACGAAGGAAAGGACUUCUUGUGGGCGCAAGGGUCUAUUGUUGGUUGAGAGAGUGCGUGCGCGCGCGCUCAAUAUCAACGCAAUUACACGCAAUGAAGCAGUCACAUUAACAUGAUCUUCAAAUAAAAAGCUUAGCUUACCUCCGCUUGUGGUUUUCUGUGACAUGCAAUGCCACAAUAUUUAACAGCUAUUCAGUAAAACGACAAUAGGCUGAGAUAUGUAGUAGUAAAGCCAAAAGUCAUGUUAAAACAGUCAUUUCUUUUAAGGGAAAGAAGACUACUAGAUAUUAUCAUCAGACAUAAAAUAUAUACAGCCAAAUCUACAGAAGGGAACAAAGACUAUAGUCAAUCAGAGAGCAAAGAUGAAGUAAAACAGAUGAAAACAAAAGUCAGUCAACAGAACCAAAGUUGUUCUCUAUGAGGAACUAAGUUUAUAAUGCUGGUACCGCUAAUGCAGCAACUCUAUGCUGCCAAAGGUGCUAUACAAUGUGCAUGCCUAUUUUACACUAGCCAACCCGAACUAGAUUGGAACUGAGCUGGAGUUGUUGUAUUCUCUCACUACCAAAAAGAUACUAAAUAAUGCAAAGAAAGGUAAAAAGACAUACUCUGUUUUAGUUUCUGUAAUUCUCUCUUUCUUAUCUGAUAUCUGCCUAAAAGUAUCUGCUUUUGUUAGCUUUUACUGUAAAAAUUCCCUUGAAGUCUUCAUACAAGUAGAAAGUC